UACGAAGGGGGCUAGCGUUGUUCGGAAUUACUGGGCGUAAAGCGCACGCAGGCGGUCUGUCAAGUCGGAUGUGAAAUCCCCGGGCUCAACCUGGGAACUGCAUUCGAAACUGGCAGGCUAGAGUCUUGUAGAGGGGGGUAGAAUUCCAGGUGUAGCGGUGAAAUGCGUAGAGAUCGGGAGGAACACCAGUGGCGAAGGCGGCUUCCUGGCCUGUUCUUGACGCUGAGGCGCGAAAGCUAGGGGAGCAAACGGG
rnacentral:rRNA from 1 species